rnacentral:rRNA from 1 species
UAAUACGUAGGGGGCGAGCGUUGUCCGGAAUUACUGGGCGUAAAGGGCGCGUAGGCGGCCCGUUAAGUCCGCUGUGAAAGACCGAGGCUCAACCUCGGGGUGUCAGCGGAGACUGUCGGGCUGGAGUCUCGGAGAGGGAUGCGGAAUUCCUGGUGUAGCGGUGGAAUGCGUAGAGAUCAGGAGGAACACCGAUGGCGAAGGCAGCAUCCUGGCCGAGUACUGACGCUGAGGCGCGAAAGCGUGGGGAGCGAACGGGAUUAGAUACCCCGGUAGUCCACGCCGUAAACGAUGUCGACUAGGUGUGGGGGGAGUCACUCCCUCCGUGCCGCAGCUCACGCAUGAAGUCGACCGCCUGGGGAGUACGGCCGCAAGGUUG